rfam:Nicotiana attenuata strain TT chromosome 8, whole genome shotgun sequence.
CAAAUGGCCUUUUUUAAGGCCACUAUUUAAAUUUUGUUCCAUUCGA